rnacentral:lncRNA from 1 species
UUUACCUAAACAAAUGAUGAAUAACAAUGCUUCUACACUUUUGUUUACAGUGCAGGGUGUAUUGGCAACACUAACUUGUGGUCUGUGCUACUGUAUGUAUGCCUACUGUAAUGGUAAAAAUCUUAUAAGUGAAAGGAAAAAAGGUGAAAAGAAUAAUAAAAGAAAUAUCAGUAAAUUAAAUCCUCAUGUACAAUAUGUACCUAUAUUAAAAAAAAAAAAAACAAAUGAAGAGAAUGAUACUAGUAGCAACAGAAAUGAAAUUAUAAGUAAAAAUUUAAAUACAAAUAAUGCCGAUGUUGUAUUAUUAACUGAUAAUACAAGUUAUAUUAAUGGUAGUAAGACGGAAACUGAACAAAAGUUAAAAUAUCUAGCUCCGGCUACUAUUGCUCCUAAUAAAGAAUUUAAUAAAUAUAAGCAUGUUGAUAGUAGAAGUAAUAGUAGUAUAGAACCAAAACCUAAUUUACCAUUAUUUUGUAACGGUACAACUAAAGAAAAAAUAAAUGAUUAUGACAAAUGUUUGAUUGUCAAAAGUAAGAAUAACAACAAAGCUAUAGAAAAAUAUAAAAGCACAAAUGUAAAUAAUAAUAAUAAUAAUAAUAUGUUUUUUAUAAAAAAUGGAAUAAAUAAAGAUAAACAAAAUACGAAUGAAGAAAAUUACUAUAAUGAUAGACAUAUAUUAAACGAUACUGAAACGAAUUUGAAAAAAAGUACAAGCGCAUUUUAUGAAAAUAAUAAAAAUAAAAUUGAACAAAUUCAUUAUAAUAACAUGCGGAAAAGCAACAGUUUUACACAUAAUAGAAUUCCAGAUGUUGAGAAUUAUAUAUAUGAUAAAAAUAAAGACACUCAAUUAAUUUAUCUUAAUGAUAGUUAUAAAAAUCAUGUACAUAAAAUGACAUUAUUAAAUAAGGACAGAGAUAACGAAGCAAAUUUUUCUUAUAUAUAUUUGAAUAAAAACCAAAUGAUAAGAAAUGUAAAUGAUAACGAUACUCAUUUGUUAUGUAAUGGACAUGAGAACAACAAUAUAAGUAAUUUUUGUAGUAGCCUUUUUACACAGAAUGAUAAUAAUAACGUGGGUCAAGGUAUAACGCAUAGUAUGGAGAAAGACAUGACAGCUAACAUAACAGAUGACAUAACAGAUGACAUAACAAAUAACAUAACAAAUGACAUAACAAAUGACAUAACAAAUGACAUAACAAAUGACAUAACAGAUGACAUAACAAAUGACAUAACAGAUGACAUAACAAAUGACAUAACAAAUGACAUAACAGAUGACAUAACAUACGAUGUGGCACAUGCCAUGGUAAACAACAACGCACACAACACGACGCAUAACACUUCAUAUGACACUUCACACAACACAACAAACGAACAAGAUAUACACUAUCAACCAGAAAUAACAACUGAAAAAGGUUCUGAAAAAAUAAGAUAUAUAGAAAACGAAAAUUUGCACAACUCAAAAAAUUAUGACACGAAUAAAAAUUAUAUUUUUGAAUGCGAAAAAAACAUAAAGUUUUUAACAAAUAUGGGGAAAAUGAAUAUUUUAAUUUAUUCUAAUAAUUUACCUUAUCACAUUGAUGAAAACAACAGUUAUGCUACUUCUAUUAAUAGCUGUAGUGGUAGUAAUAAUAAUAGUAGCACUGUAAUUGGUAGUGGUAUUUGUAGUGGUAUUUGUAGUGGUAUUUGUAGUGGUAGUUGUAGUGGUAUUUGUAAUGGUAUUUGUAGUGGUAGUUGUAGUGGUAUUUGUAAUGGUAUUGGGAGUAGUAUUGGGAGUAGUAUUGGGAGUAAUGUUGGGAGUAGUAUCGGUACUCAUGUGACUAACAGUAGUAAUAAUAACAUAAUAUAUAGCAAGAACAUGCAUAAUAUGAAAGAAAAUUGUGUUCUUCAUUAUAAUAAUAAAAGUAUAAACAAAUGCAAUCAUUUGUAUAAUAAUAUUAAUAUGAAAGAUGAUGUUUAUAAGAUAGUUGGCUCUAAAUGUAAUCAAACAGAGAAAAAUGAUAAAUGUGCUCAGGAGUCUUAUUUUGAAAAUGUUAAUAUAAAUGAUCGAGUGUAUAACAAGAUAGGAAAUAUGUUGGAAAAAGACGAAUCAGCAUCUGAAGGUUGUAACAAGUUAACAGAAAAAAUGGUUAACCAUGUUGAUAUAAUUAACACAAAAAAUAAUAAAGAAAUAAAAAAAAAUAUUGAUGCAUAUGUUAAAAAUUCCAAAGAUGAGUAUAAUUUAAAAAAUAUGAAUAGCAAUAUAAAUAAUAAAAAAAAAAAAAAAAAAAAUGAGCUUUUGAAUUGUAGAUAUGACAAUUAUAAAGAAAAUUUAGUCAAAAAAGAAAAUAAAAAUGAUAGUGAUGAUAAUGAUAGUGAUAAUUUAGUAGCACUCGAAAAAACAUACAACAAUAGUAAUGCACAUUACAAUAAGUUAAAUGACAAAAACACUUAUUACACUAUGGACGAUAAACUAAUAAAAAAAGAAAAAUGUGUAUUAAAAAAUAAAACAAGGACUAACAAGUUAGAAGAAAAUGAAUAUACUUCGAAUGAAAAAAAAAUAAUAAUAAAAAAAAAAAAAAAAAUAAUACCUGAAGGUACAAUAAAUAGAAAUGAAGAGACUAUGUAUGUAGAAAAAGAAAAAUAUUUUAAAAAACAUGGAAAUGGAAAGCAUCCUGAUGAUAAAAAUGUAAAAAACGAAAAAGAUGGUCAUAUUGUAACACGGAGCACAAAAAAAAUGAAUAAUGAAAAAAAUGAAAAAGAGUUAACGUUAACAGAUGAAAACAAUUUAUCUAGUUCAUUUUUAAAAUCCGGCUUAAGAUCUAAUAAGCAAAAUGAAAAGGUAACAAAAAAUAAUGAAAAAAAAAGUCUAAAAAUAAAAGCGGAAAAAGAUAUAUUAAUAAAUGAAAAAAUAAAUGAGUACAAAAAUGUUGAACUAAAUCAAUACGUAAAAAUAAAAACUGAAAAAAAUUUAUCAUUAUUAGAGUUGAAAAAUAUAAACAAAAAUAAAAUAUCCAAAACUAAACCACUGGAAUUGAACCGAUCGCAAAAUCAAAAUAGUUUAAAACAGUCAAAUAAAAUCAAAUUGUUGAAUCAUAAAAAUUAUAUAAUGGAUGAAUAUAGAUGUGCAUCAGGCUUUGUAAAUUUUUUAUUGGAACAUAUCCAGACGAAUGAAACUGAGAAAACGAACGAGUCCAAACCAACGGAACAAAAAAAAAACCGCUUUGAUGAUUUAUUGAAAUUAGUCUUAAAAAUUGUAGAAAUUUAUGACGUCAAAACAAUAGAUUUUAUAGAAGCUUUUUUAAUUCUAGAAACAAUAAGAAUUGAUAUUAUUAGAGCACAUCCAAUUAAAGAAUGGAUAUUAGUUAUAUUUCACUUUUUAAAAGGGAAUGUUAAUAAACAUAACUUAAAAAAUAUUAUAAAACGUAUAAAACUAGAUAGUAUAACUACCAGUAUUGUAACAGCAGUGUUUUACAUGAACAAAAAAAAAGUGAAACUAACAGAAAAAAAUAUUGAUCAAGUUAUUACAACAUUACAUGAUGUUACUAGGAGAAGGUCAACAAGAUUUCAAGUAGCUAAUAAUUCGAAUCAUGAAAAUAAAUUAAAAGAGUCACAAAAAAAGGAUGAACCCUUAGGUUCCUGUUGGCAACCAAUUACAGCAAAUACGGCAACGAAAUAGCAAAUGCUACGUAGAAGUUUGGACCCGUACGUUAUAUAUGUCUGCCUCUCAGAAAAACUUAUAUAAAUUAAACAUGCAUAAAUUUGAAUAUGUAUAUUAAUGGUGAAAUAAAAAGAAUGAUAAAAAAAUAUAUAUAAAUUGU